rnacentral:rRNA from 1 species
CGAUGGCGGCGUGCUUGCCAUGCAGUCGAACGAUGAACCCCGCUUGCGGGGGGAUUAGUGGCGAACGGGUGAGUAACACGUGAGUAACCUGCCCUUAACUCUGGGAUAAGCCUUGGAAACGAGGUCUAAUACUGGAUAUUGACAUUUCACCGCAUGGUGGUUUGUUGAAAGAUUUAUUGGUUUUGGAUGGACUCGCGGCCUAUCAGCUUGUUGGUGAGGUGGUGGCUCACCACGGCGACGACGGGUAGCCGGCCUGAGAGGGUGACCGGCCACACUGGCACUGAGACACGGCCCCGACUCCCACAGAUUGCAGCGGGGGGAAUAUUUGGACUAUGGGAUAAAAUCCUAUCAAUACAUGCCGGCAGAGUAAAACAGGGGCUUCGGGGUUGUAAAGCCUUCUUUUUACCAGAAACACACCCGCCAUAUUUUUUUGGUCUUUCUGGGUCACUCCCCUGAAAAAAACCCCCCGCCAAAACCCGGGCUCCCCCCCGUUCCCCGGCAAUUUCCACGGUGGUUGGGAAAGGGUUUUUGGGAGAGUUAUUUGGGCGGUAGAAGAAACAGAAUAAAUAGCGCGUUGUGUCCCGCUCGCUGUGGAGGAGAGGCCGCCGCGUCAAACAUCCCGCUGUAUAUCUUUUUGCGUUUUUAUGAGCGGAUUUUUUCUCCUUGGGGGCUGCGCGGAAAAAAAGGGGAAAAAUUAUACCCCCACAAAGAAGUAUAACUGCCCACAUGGUGAUUAACAAGCCAACGUUUAUCCUUCCCCCCAAUUUAUACUUCACAUCCCUGGUUGGGGGCACCUCCACACUGGUGGGGUGUUGGCCACCACCCAGUGAAAUUAAAAAAGUAUGUGUGUGGGAGAAAGAGACCCCCGUGUCCGAUUCAAACCCGCUCUCUGGGAGGAAGAAAAAGCU